CCAUGCAAGUCGAACGGCAGCACGGGGGCAACCCUGGUGGCGAGUGGCGAACGGGUGAGUAAUACAUCGGAACGUGCCCAGUCGUGGGGGAUAACGUAGCGAAAGCUACGCUAAUACCGCAUACGAACUCUGGUUGAAAGCGGGGGAUCGCAAGACCUCGCGCGAUUGGAGCGGCCGAUGGCAGAUUAGGUAGUUGGUGGGGUAAAGGCUCACCAAGCCGACGAUCUGUAGCUGGUCUGAGAGGACGACCAGCCACACUGGGACUGAGACACGGCCCAGACUCCUACGGGAGGCAGCAGUGGGGAAUUUUGGACAAUGGGCGCAAGCCUGAUCCAGCCAUUCCGCGUGCAGGAUGAAGGCCCUCGGGUUGUAAACUGCUUUUGUACGGAACGAAAAGGCUUUCUCUAAUACAGAGAGCUCAUGACGGUACCGUAAGAAUAAGCACCGGCUAACUACGUGCCAGCAGCCGCGGUAAUACGUAGGGUGCAAGCGUUAAUCGGAAUUACUGGGCGUAAAGCGUGCGCAGGCGGUGAUGUAAGACAGGUGUGAAAUCCCCGGGCUUAACCUGGGAACUGCAUUUGUGACUGCAUCGCUGGAGUGCGGCAGAGGGGGAUGGAAUUCCGCGUGUAGCAGUGAAAUGCGUAGAUAUGCGGAGGAACACCGAUGGCGAAGGCAAUCCCCUGGGCCUGCACUGACGCUCAUGCACGAAAGCGUGGGGAGCAAACAGGAUUAGAUACCCUGGUAGUCCACGCCCUAAACGAUGUCAACUGGUUGUUGGGUCUUCACUGACUCAGUAACGAAGCUAACGCGUGAAGUUGACCGCCU
rnacentral:rRNA from 1 species